rnacentral:lncRNA from 1 species
CUUGGACAGAAGACGCUGAGCAUUUUUUCAGGAAGUGGUCACCCCAGUGGUCCCCGGCUUUCUCAGACUUCCUGCAGCUCUCUACACAGUGAAUCACAGUGAGACACUGGCAGCAGGCACCACGGAAGGGACCCUCAAAUCUGAAGGCUCAAGGUCCUGGGAAAAGAUGAAGUGGAGCAUGCCUCUUGUUUCCUCCUAUUAGAUGCUGAGUGUUGGAAGUUCUUCCUAGGAUUCACAAAGAAACUCCUGCUCUUCUUCCACAUACUUUUUCCUGGGAAAGAAAACUUGUUUCACUGGCAGAAAAGAUCCCCACUGUUAAAGUGAGGUAAAGAAGAUUCUUGCUUCCUCUUUACGCGUCCGCCAUGAUUGUAAGUUUCCUGAGGCUUCCCCAGCCAUGCUGAACUGGUCUUAGAUACAUGAUGGCACUGUUGGCUUCCUGAAGACCUCUUCAUCCUGCAGAAGGUGCAACUCCACAGCAUCCUGAGAGGUUGGACACAAGCUGCUGGGAGCACAAAGGAACCCUGCCUGCCAGGCUUGAGUGUCAGAAUCUGGGCUUUCACCUGCAGGGACCUCAGGCCUCCAUCAGCCAGGCUUGGAAAGAAUGAAUGGUGCCUCUCGGUGAAUUACUACAACCUGAAUCCUGUGACCCCACCUGUGAUGGCCCAAUGUUAUUGAAAUUACUGACUCCAUCCACUUAGCAAGUGGUAAAUACUCUGCAGGCAUAGAUUUGACUAAUGUGUUCUGUUCAGCGCCUAUUUCAACAGAUCUCAGCUGCAGGUUGCUUUCACCCCCGAAGGGACACAAUAGACCGUUAUCUGGCUACCACGGGGUACCUCGACAGUUCUGCCACCAUACACAAUCUUUGCAGGCAGGAUUUGAACUGCAUCUGAC